GCGAAGGUGGCGGAAUUGGUAGACGCGCUAGCUUCAGGUGUUAGUGUCCUUACGGACGUGGGGGUUCAAGUCCCCCGCCUCGCACCA
rnacentral:tRNA from 2 species